AGCGAACGUUUGCGGCGGGCCUAACACAUGCAAGUCGAACGAGAAUCUCUUCGGAGAGGAAAGUGGCGCACGGGUGCGUAACACGUGGAUAACCAACCCCCUGUUCGGGAUAACGCUGGGAAACCGGCGCUAAUACCGGGUGUGUCCGAGGUGUCAUCAGGCGCUUCGGAGAAAGACACGCAAGGGUCGCCAGGGGACGGGUCCGCGUCCCAUCAGCUAGUUGGUGAGGUAAUGGCUCACCAAGGCAAAGACGGGUAGCUGGUCUGAGAGGAUGAUCAGCCACACUGGAACUGAGACACGGUCCAGACUCCUACGGGAGGCAGCAGUGGGGAAUAUUGCGCAAUGGGCGGAAGCCUGACGCAGCCACGCCGCGUGAGCGAUGAAGGUCUUAGGAUCGUAAAGCUCUGUGGAGGGAGAAGAAGAAAGCCGGUGAAGAGCCGGCCUUGACGGUAUCCCUUUAGCAAGCACCGGCUAACUCCGUGCCAGCAGCCGCGGUAAUACGGAGGGUGCAAACGUUGCUCGGAAUCAUUGGGCGUAAAGCGCGCGUAGGCGGCGAGGCAAGUUGGAUGUGAAAAGCCCUGGGCUCAACCCAGGAAGUGCAUCCAAAACUGCCUUGCUUGAAUCUCGGAGGGGGUCAGGGAAUUCCCGGUGUAGAGGUG
rnacentral:rRNA from 1 species